UUUUUUUUUUUUUUUUUUUUUUUGAGUGCACAAAAGGAAAAUAAGCAUUUCAGAGAAACACUUGAGGAUGAUUAGAUGGGAAAGUUGAAUUUGGAGCAACAAUAGACUGGGGGAUUGGAAAAUCUUCCAACAUAUACUAAAAGAUCUGAUCAGGAAGCCCAGUUCUGACAGGUGUGGAACAAGGAACCAUCAUGAAGGAAGAGAAGAAGGCAGAGUCAAGUCCCUUAGUGAUAGCUGUCUAUGUAGUUGGUUAAGUACCCUGCUUGAAAAUUAAGGUCUGUGUAUAAUUUGAUAGAUAAUAAUUUUGCUUUAAAAAUAUUUUUACACAAUUGUGAAUAGUUCCCCUCUAGCAUUUCUCACAGUGCUUGCUGAAGAGGGCAGCUGUGAUAUAGAAAAAAAAAAGCUACCUUUGCUAAAACAGCCUCUCUUUCUUCAGGCUUAUCUGACCCAGACCUCAGAAUCUCCUGGACUAAGAACAACUCAGGCCAUUGUGAUUUAGAAGUAUCCUGGUGCUUAGAGAAGACACUAAGACGGCCAGGAGACAAUGGCAGCAUUAGAAGGCCCUAGUUGAACAGAAUAUAUAAUUUCAUUUAACAGCUGCGGAAGCUCAUUAACUACGCUGGCAUGAAUGAUUCUUUACAACUACAAAAAAGAAAGAAAAACAGCAGCCUAUUUACAAAUGCAGGGAGAGCCAUUCCUUGUUUUCUAGCUUUCAAGGGAAACAAAACAUUUCUGCAUAAUAACUUUAUCCUAUAAUUCAACACUAUUUAAAAGUGUAGCAUGCCAUAAGCUUAAAGAGAUAUUUUUGUGCCACGUAUUCAAAACCUCCACAAUAUUCCAGCACAGUUUCUGACUGCAUGGCUUUCAGGUUCCCUAUGACCUGCUAAGGGGCCAAUCAGGCAGCAGUCUGGCCGCCCAGGCACCUUCCAGGCAUGCAUGCUCCCUGCACUCCAACAUUUCUCUCCAAACAUAUCCCAUACUUCAUGUUCUCAACUUAAGGAAAGUAUGGCUCAAAUGCUUUCCACAAUCCUUUAGCCCCUCUUAUUUUUUACUUUAGGUUCUCUGCCACUUACUAAGUGACCUUGAGCCAAUCACUUAGCCUUUCUGUGCUUCAUUUUUUUUAUCUGUAAAAUUAUGACAGUGCCUGCUUCACAGGGGUAUUGUGAAGAUUAAACUGGGAGUCAAUACAAAGCAUCUAGAGCAAUGCUUGGUAAUAGCACACCUUCAAUAAAUGUCCAGCCAGUACUUCACUAUUAUUACCACUACCUAGGACAUGAUUCACCACUAUUACUUAUUUCAUAUGUAUUUUGCCAACUCCAAUUCCACCUAAAUUGUUUGAGGGCAUCUAGAGAGAGUAUGGGUACAUAUUAGCACCGUUUCAUGCCCUCUUCCUCCCCUGCUUCCACCUCAGAUAUGUAGGUGGGGACUGAGAGAGGGCAGGACUGUUGCUAUGGUGGGGAACGUUGCUGAUAUUUUUGGGGAGGACUGUUGCUAUGGUGGGGAAUGUUGCUGAUAUUUUUGGGGACUCAGCUAAAGGUUCAUGAAGUCACAGGCAUAGUCUUUAUCCCAUGUGGACAAACUUUCUUGUGGCUGUUCUUUCUCCCAACAGUAAGCAUUAAGGUAUGCUCUGGGACAGGUCCCUGUUUUUCUCUUUCACCUACUCAGAUACUCUCUCAGAUCUCUCAUAAAUAGAACUGCCCCAUAUGGGGGCUCUAAGCUAACGGAGUGUGAAAUAAAUGACUCCCUAGUGUAGCCUGUUUCAUUAGUAUUCCAUACAGGGGCUGAAGAGGAUGCUCUACUUAGUGACAUUACUGUUGGCUUUUUAUUUUCCUAGCAUGUAUUUCUUGUGAGAUCCCUUCAGGAAGGGGUGGCUAAUCUCUGAUAGAAUUUUGGUAAUCCUCGGUUUCUGGUCCACAUGACGUUAUCUCUUCCCACUCUUACUAGCAAUCACAGAGGUCAAGUAUUUUUCAAUUUUGUAUCCUUUAACCCCUAACAUCCACUAUUGUUUAUAAAAGUAGGCAUUUAAUAUUUAUUGAAGCGAGCUAUUUAUUCUUUAAAAAAAUAUUAGCCACUUGCUAGUAGGGCCAGUUACCAUGACUAAGGUCCUUUCAUUUAAUUAAACUGAAUCCAAAAUUCAAGGAAUUUUUCACAAUAACAAGUGCUAAUUUGAUGCUUAGUAAUAUUCAUACGCAUCACUAUGACCUAUAGGCCCUACAAUGCCUAUCCCUUGUUUACUUCUCUGACCUUAUUGUGCUCACUCUGAACCAGAAUACUUUAUAAUUUUUGAUUCAACCUCUACUCCUUUGCACUUGCUGUGCCCUCUGCUUGAAAUACUACUCACCCCCCCACCCAACCCCGAGUUUCACAUGAUGAACUGCUUCUUGUGAUUCCCAUCACAGGACAAAGGAGGAGCCCACAGCCUGAAGAAAUGACAUGAUACCUAAAGUAUGAGUAUGAGUAUACAGGAGUGUGUGUGUGUGUGUGUGUGUAUAUAUAGAUAUAUAUAUACACACACACACACACACACACACACGAGUAUAUAUGUGUGUGUAGCUGUAUGUAUUUUGGGGUAGAGGUGGGUAAGGUAAGACUAUUCAAUCUAUGCAGAGGGAAGAGCUAAGGCAAAGACUUGAAAUGCAAAGAAAUAGAGUAAGGUUGUUUGCAGAACUGAAAGUCAAUGUGGCUUCAGCUUAAAAAGCCCAAGACAUCAGAAGAUGGGAUACGAGCCGAAUCAUAAAGGCAUGCAUGUAUCAGAAAAGGAUACAAGAGGGGCAGUACGGCAUUUAUGCAUUGUGGCCCGCAGGUACUAUCUUAAGAUAUAGAUUAAUCAUUCUUCGUAAGAAAAAAAUCCUUCUGCCUUUAUAGGUAUUCUCCUAUUCUUCCCUAAUUU
rnacentral:lncRNA from 1 species